rnacentral:lncRNA from 1 species
GUGCAGCUUGCCUGGGUCCCCCACCCCUGGAUCACCCUAUCCUUGGGUCCCUGGAGCUCCUUCUCUAUACCUUCCCCGGUGGGCUUCCCACUCACUCCUGUGGUCUCAAUUGUCACUUCUGUGCAGAAGGUUCAGCAACAAUGUGCCUGCCCGACUUCUCCUGAGCUCUGCUCUGUGUGCUAGGACUGUUGCAGUCUCCUCCCAGAGUUAGACUGACCUUUGGCUCUGCCAGGGCCAAGCCCUCACCUCCCUGUGGCCAUGCAGCACAGGGCUCCCAGCAGCCCAGGUGGGGUCUGGAGUCCACUGUGCACCCUCUCUCCGCAGCCUCCUAUGUGGCGGCACCCGCUAGGAGCCAGCCUCCGCCAGCUUCCUGGAGCCCCAUAGCUGUCUCUCCCCUGUGUCCCUGCCACCCCCAACUGAGGUCUCUGUCACUUUUCCUUGAUGUGGUUAGAAGGCCAUUCCAGUUGGCAUCCCUAACCAAAGUUCCUUCUCAUUCAAUUCAUGUCACACAUUAUUUUUGGAGGAACACUACCAGAAAAUCUCUUUAAAAGGUUAAGCUUCCUCUCCUUUGAUUCUGACCAGCUUUAAGAUUAGAAUCUGGCCCAAUCUAUGCUUUGCCUUUUUCUCUAUUACCCCCUUGGCUCAAAACACGUGGCCCACGUCGAGGAGACCAUGGGCAUUUCCUUCUGGCAUCUGCCCCUCCCCAGCGUCCCUCCUGGCCUCCAGCCCCUGAGGUGAGGUUCCUUGUCCUAAAGGACUCUUGAGAUAGUCCACAAGGAGCUCUCCAGCUCCCCACGCCCAUCUCUGCUUCAGAAGAUGCUUCUAGAGCCUCCCUGUCCCCCUCUUGGUCAGUCCCCCUCCUGCUGACUUUCCUCAGCCUGUAUUUCUAGAACAUGUUGUUUUCCCUGCUGGAUCAGGGAUAUUUUGAAGAUAGACUUUAUGUCUUAACUCCUUGGCCACAAGCCUGUUACGAUUUCUGAAGAGAGCAUUUCUGCGGCUUACUUGAGACCAGCAGAGAAGCUUGCGGUAACAAAAGCAAGCGCACGAAGCAUCAUUUCCAUCCAAGUGGGGAUCUGUCAGCAGAGGGCGUGUGAAACGUCCUAGGGUGGGCAGCUGAAGUGUGUGGGCAGCAUGGUGCUGUUGGAGGACUUGUAAAGUACCCACGUGGAAUUACAAAUUUUUCCUUAAAGUUCA